rnacentral:rRNA from 1 species
UAUGUAGGGGGCAAGCGUUGUCCGGAAUUACUAGGCGUAAAGGGCAGGCAGGCGGAUCCAUAAGUUUAUCGUUUAAGGCGUCGGCUUAACCGGCGUAGGGCGGUAGAUACUGUGGAUCUGGAAUGCGGUUGGGGAAGACAGAAUUCCUGGUGUAGCGGUGGAAUGCGCAGAGAUCAGGAGGAAUACCGAAGGCGAAGGCAGUCUUCCAAGCCGUUAUUGACGCUCAACUGCGAAGGUGUGGGUAUCAAACAGGAUUAGAUACCCUGGUAGUCCCU